GCUAAGUCCCUACCCUCUCUCUCUUAGUUCUUUUACAGUUAGCUAAAAGUUGGAUUUUUAGAAGGUUCAUGGUAUUAGAGUUGAACAGAUUAUGGUUUGAGGCUUGAAAACAUGACCUUUUCGGAAAUUUGCAUUCCAUGCUUUGAGUUUUAUGCGUACCAGUUAUGCUUGUGCUUUAUGUUCUAUACAUGAUAAGGUUAUUUCCCAUAUGAUCAUGUUGUGAUGUUCUAAGUGGGUGAAAAUGAGGUAUAAGGGUGAGUAUGUGCUACCUGAUUCCUUGUGGCUGGUGGUUGGAAAAAAAACUCCCACUUCUAAUGGUCUUUGAGAGGCAUAGCAACCUAUACUCACUCUCUACUCUCGGUUGUGAUUUGUGGGGGAGAAAGAAUGAAAUUUUGAAGUGGUGAGUGGUGAAGGGAAACAGAUAUUGAAGGGGAAAAACAUAUAUAUAAGCUGUUGCUGCAAUUUGUUGAGAUAUGGCAGAAAUCAAAUCUGCAUUUUUUUGGCUCUUUGUUCACAUUGAUUGGCUGUUUGUGGGGCAGUACAUAUGUUGUACUCGUGAAUCAAUAAAUGGGCUGAUCCUAUUGUGCAGCGAAUCCCCUCUUUGCAGCUCCUUAGUGUGCUUUGAACUUAAUUUGUUUUGGUGGUAUUUGGAGUACGAGAACUUGGGUAAAAACUCCCUUUUGUUUUCAUGUUGCAGGGGUGGUAUUGUAGGGAAAAGUAGUCUGUGGGUGUUGUUUUGAGGAGUGGGUCUUGCAGGCAUUGACUUGCCUUCUUGGGUGAAUGAAAGGCUUGGCUGCCACAUUGCUGUCCAAGACUUGGGGUUGCUGCCUUGGGCUCGAUGGGCUGUUCGGAACGGGCCGUGAUUUGGGCUUGGGAGAAAGAGGCCCAAAGUCCAAGCAUAAUAAGACUUUAGUUUCUUAAACUCUUUUGGCACAUUCAUGGGUAUUUCGUAAUAGUAUAGUAUCACAUAUUCUUUUCUUUCCAUUCAAAAUUCAUACGUAAGAUGAUCACGUAAGUUAAUGUAUUAUUCGAGAUGUAAGCGAACACUUUAGUUCGGAAGGGACGUCUUCACAUUCUUUUU